GGUUAAGCGACUAAGCGUACACGGUGGAUGCCCUGGCAGUCAGAGGCGAUGAAGGACGUGCUAAUCUGCGAUAAGCGUCGGUAAGGUGAUAUGAACCGUUAUAACCGGCGAUUUCCGAAUGGGGAAACCCAGUGUGUUUCGACACACUAUCAUUAACUGAAUCCAUAGGUUAAUGAGGCGAACCGGGGGAACUGAAACAUCUAAGUACCCCGAGGAAAAGAAAUCAACCGAGAUUCCCCCAGUAGCGGCGAGCGAACGGGGAGCAGCCCAGAGCCUGAAUCAGUGUGUGUGUUAGUGGAAGCGUCUGGAAAGGCGCGCGAUACAGGGUGACAGCCCCGUACACAAAAAUGCACAUACUGUGAGCUCGAUGAGUAGGGCGGGACACGUGGUAUCCUGUCUGAAUAUGGGGGGACCAUCCUCCAAGGCUAAAUACUCCUGACUGACCGAUAGUGAACCAGUACCGUGAGGGAAAGGCGAAAAGAACCCCGGCGAGGGGAGUGAAAAAGAACCUGAAACCGUGUACGUACAAGCAGUGGGAGCACGCUUCGGCGUGUGACUGCGUACCUUUUGUAUAAUGGGUCAGCGACUUAUAUUCUGUAGCAAGGUUAACCGAAUAGGGGAGCCGAAGGGAAACCGAGUCUUAACUGGGCGUUAAGUUGCAGGGUAUAGACCCGAAACCCGGUGAUCUAGCCAUGGGCAGGUUGAAGGUUGGGUAACACUAACUGGAGGACCGAACCGACUAAUGUUGAAAAAUUAGCGGAUGACUUGUGGCUGGGGGUGAAAGGCCAAUCAAACCGGGAGAUAGCUGGUUCUCCCCGAAAGCUAUUUAGGUAGCGCCUCGUGAAUUCAUCUCCGGGGGUAGAGCACUGUUUCGGCAAGGGGGUCAUCCCGACUUACCAACCCGAUGCAAACUGCGAAUACCGGAGAAUGUUAUCACGGGAGACACACGGCGGGUGCUAACGUCCGUCGUGAAGAGGGAAACAACCCAGACCGCCAGCUAAGGUCCCAAAGUCAUGGUUAAGUGGGAAACGAUGUGGGAAGGCCCAGACAGCCAGGAUGUUGGCUUAGAAGCAGCCAUCAUUUAAAGAAAGCGUAAUAGCUCACUGGUCGAGUCGGCCUGCGCGGAAGAUGUAACGGGGCUAAACCAUGCACCGAAGCUGCGGCAGCGACACUAUGUGUUGUUGGGUAGGGGAGCGUUCUGUAAGCCUGUGAAGGUGUGCUGUGAGGCAUGCUGGAGGUAUCAGAAGUGCGAAUGCUGACAUAAGUAACGAUAAAGCGGGUGAAAAGCCCGCUCGCCGGAAGACCAAGGGUUCCUGUCCAACGUUAAUCGGGGCAGGGUGAGUCGACCCCUAAGGCGAGGCCGAAAGGCGUAGUCGAUGGGAAACAGGUUAAUAUUCCUGUACUUGGUGUUACUGCGAAGGGGGGACGGAGAAGGCUAUGUUGGCCGGGCGACGGUUGUCCCGGUUUAAGCGUGUAGGCUGGUUUUCCAGGCAAAUCCGGAAAAUCAAGGCUGAGGCGUGAUGACGAGGCACUACGGUGCUGAAGCAACAAAUGCCCUGCUUCCAGGAAAAGCCUCUAAGCAUCAGGUAACAUUAAAUCGUACCCCAAACCGACACAGGUGGUCAGGUAGAGAAUACCAAGGCGCUUGAGAGAACUCGGGUGAAGGAACUAGGCAAAAUGGUGCCGUAACUUCGGGAGAAGGCACGCUGAUAUGUAGGUGAAGUCCCUCGCGGAUGGAGCUGAAAUCAGUCGAAGAUACCAGCUGGCUGCAACUGUUUAUUAAAAACACAGCACUGUGCAAACACGAAAGUGGACGUAUACGGUGUGACGCCUGCCCGGUGCCGGAAGGUUAAUUGAUGGGGUUAGCGGUAACGCGAAGCUCUUGAUCGAAGCCCCGGUAAACGGCGGCCGUAACUAUAACGGUCCUAAGGUAGCGAAAUUCCUUGUCGGGUAAGUUCCGACCUGCACGAAUGGCGUAAUGAUGGCCAGGCUGUCUCCACCCGAGACUCAGUGAAAUUGAACUCGCUGUGAAGAUGCAGUGUACCCGCGGCAAGACGGAAAGACCCCGUGAACCUUUACUAUAGCUUGACACUGAACAUUGAGCCUUGAUGUGUAGGAUAGGUGGGAGGCUUUGAAGUGUGGACGCCAGUCUGCAUGGAGCCGACCUUGAAAUACCACCCUUUAAUGUUU
rnacentral:rRNA from 1 species